AGAAUCAACGCUGGCGGCGUGCCUCAGACAUGCAAGUCGAACGAUUAAAGCUCUCUUCGGAGAGUGUAUAGAGUGGCGCACGGGUGAGUAACACGUAAGUAAUCUACCCUCGAGUGGGGAAUAACGUCCGGAAACGGACGCUAAUACCGCAUAAUGCAGCGGCACCGCAAGGUGACAGUUGUUAAAGAUUUAUCGCUUGAGGAGGAGCUUGCGGCAGAUUAGCUAGUUGGUAAGGUAAUGGCUUACCAAGGCUACGAUCUGUAACCGGUCUAAGAGGACGGUCGGUCGACACUGACACUGAAUAACGGGUCAGACUCCUACGGGAGGCAGCAGGUCGGGAAUUUUGGGCAAGUGGGCGAAAGCCUGACCCAGCAACCGCCGCGUGAAGGAUGAAGUAUUUCGGUAUGGUAAACUUACGAAAGUAAGUAGGAAGAAUACAAAGUGAACGGCAACCUAAUUUUAAUAACGGUCCGUACUAACGUACGUAGUACCAGCAGCCGCGGUAACUCGUAGACGGUCGG
rnacentral:rRNA from 1 species